AGAGAGCUUCCCUCUCCUGCCUGGCAGUCAUCUCGGCUCCCAGAUCAGCAGCGCUCAGCAACACCCUGUACCUCCAGGAGCACCUUCUCCCAGGAGUCCAGGAGGGGAGGUAGACUGUUCCAGUGCGUGCACAGAACCUCCCUGGGUAAGAGCUUCAGAAGCAGCUCACUGCUCCCCAAGAGGUGACGGAGACCAAAGGUAGAAGUGGACUUCGAGAGCUCCUGGAUGCGUUCAGCAACUGAAGACAGGAGGUUCUGAAGGGAAGAGGACUGGAAGCGAUGUGUUGGCUUCUAAACCGCUGGGGUAAAGGCCAGGUGGCCCAGGUCCAGCAGGGGCCUCCAACCACUUGCUGGUUCCCGACAGUGGGGGGGUCUUGCGGCCCUUUGCCUUAGCAUUUGCUGGUUCCUUGCCUAGAACACCCUUCCUCUUGCUUUUGGCCUCUAAGAUUCAACCUUCAUUGAAUAUUGGGUGGAUUUGA